rnacentral:rRNA from 1 species
UACGUAGGCAGCAAGCGUUGUUCGGAGUUACUGGGCGUAAAGGGUGUGUAGGCGGUUCUUUAAGUUUUGGGUGAAAUCUCCCGGCUCAACUGGGAGGGUGCGCCGAAUACUGAGGGACUAGAGUACGGGAGAGGAAAGUGGAAUUCCUGGUGUAGCGGUGAAAUGCGUAGAUAUCAGGAGGAACACCGGUGGUGUAGACGGCUCUCUAGUACGGUACUGACGCUGAGACGCGAAAGCGUGGGGAGCGAACAGG